AUUGAACGCUGGCGGCAGGCUUAACACAUGCAAGUCGAGCGAGCGGCGGACGGGUGAGUAAUGUCUGGGAAACUGCCUGAUGGAGGGGGAUAACUACUGGAAACGGUAGCUAAUACCGCAUACUAUCAGAUGUGCCCAGAUGGGAUUAGCUAGUAGGUGGGGUAAUGGCUCACCUAGGCGACGAUCCCUAGCUGGUCUGAGAGGAUGACCAGCCACACUGGGACUGAGACACGACCCAGACUCCUACGGGAGGCAGCAGUGGGGAAUAUUGCACAAUGGGCGCAAGCCUGAUGCAGCCAUGCCGCGUGUAUGAAGAAGGCCUUAGGGUUGUAAAGUACUUUCAGCGGGGAGGCGUUACUCGCAGAAGAAGCACCGGCUAACUCCGUGCCAGCAGCCGCGGUAAUUC
rnacentral:rRNA from 1 species